AUUGAACGCUGGCGGCAGGCCUAACACAUGCAAGUCGAACGAGUGGCGGACGGGUGAGUAAUGUCUGGGAAACUGCCUGAUGGAGGGGGAUAACUACUGGAAACGGUAGCUAAUACCGCAUACCAUCGGAUGUGCCCAGAUGGGAUUAGCUAGUAGGUGGGGUAAAGGCUCACCUAGGCGACGCUCCCUAGCUGGUCUGAGAGGGUGACCGGCCACACUGGAACUGAGACACGGUCCAGACUCCUACGGGAGGCAGCAGUGGGGAAUAUUGCACAAUGGGCGCAAGCCGGAUGCAGCCAUGCCGCGUGUGUGAAGAAGGCCUUCGGAUUGUAAAGUACUUUCAGCUGGGAGGCGUUACCCACAGAAGAAGCACCGGCUAACUCCGUGCCAGCAGCCGCGGUAAUAC
rnacentral:rRNA from 1 species